AUCCAUGAUUUUUAAAGUUAUAGAACAGCCUCUGUUGUCAUCAUAUUUAUGCUUGAACGUUUUCUAACUAGUCUUUAUAAUUUGUAGUUAAUUCUGAAUCUCAAACCUCUAUGACACUGUAAUUCUUUCUAAAUUGAACAGUAAGAAUGCUCAGAGAAGAGUUGCAGCUGCUUCAAGAACCUGGGUCCUAUGUGGGUGAAGUGGUAAAAGUGAUGGGAAAAAACAAGGUCUUGGUUAAGGUAUGAAUCUUUUUAUUAUAUUUUUUAGGAUUAACCUGGCUUUAUAUUUCUCGGAACAUAGUUGUCAAUAACGCUUACACUCCCAUUUUCCAGGUUCAUCCAGAGGGGAAGUAUGUUGUUGAUAUUGACAAAAGUAUAGAUAUAACAAAAAUCACUCCAUCAACGAGAGUUGCUCUUCGUAAUGAUAGCUAUGUUCUCCACCUGGUCUUGCCAAGUAAAGUAGAUCCGCUGGUUAACCUUAUGAAAGUUGAAAAGGUUCCAGACUCCACAUAUGACAUGAUUGGUGGUCUUGACCAGCAAAUUAAGGAAAUAAAGGAGGUAUGCCUAGUGAAAGAAAAAACAAAACUAAAUGUCACUUUUUUAUCGGCUAUCCCCUCUGUUGUUCCAUCCUUUUAAUGUUUAUAUAACAUCUGUAUCUUUUCUGGUUUAUCAGGUCAUUGAGCUGCCAAUCAAGCAUCCUGAAUUGUUUGAGUCUCUUGGAAUUGCGCAGCCAAAGGUACACUUGAAUUUCAAAGCUUCUUCUCUAUUUUGUGAUGCUGCUAAAUGGAUUAGAAAUAGUUUUAAUUCCCUCUCUUUCUAGGGUGUGUUGUUAUAUGGUCCACCUGGAACUGGGAAGACACUUUUGGCUCGGGCUGUUGCACAUCACACUGACUGUACUUUCAUCAGAGUUUCUGGUUCAGAGCUGGUCCAGAAAUACAUUGGAGAAGGUUCUAGGAUGGUCAGAGAACUUUUUGUGAUGGCAAGGUUUGUAUAUCCUAGUCCCUAUUUGAAAUUUCAAGCAUGGUAAUAGUAAUUGGUAGGAAAAAAUGGAACUGUUGAUAAGAUACAUCUUUUAUCAUGUCCGUCAUUAGUAGCUGAAAUGGACAUGUGAUGUUGAGUUAAACGAGGAAUGUGUUCUUUGUUGCUAUUGGAAUAUGGUUCCGCCGUUUAGACAAUCUCAAGGAUAAAUAUUGUUCUAUAAAGUAUUCGUUCUCAUAAGGCCUAGCAUUUAGGCCACAGUAUGAAGUAUCAUGUAUGGAGCCGACUACGAAUAGAUGAGAUGAUUGUGUUGAAAAGACUUUUUCCCAGUUGGCUUACCUUUCUAGUGGCACCGGUUUGUGGUUUUCAGGGAGCAUGCACCAUCAAUCAUCUUCAUGGAUGAAAUCGAUAGUAUUGGGUCUGCUCGUAUGGAAUCUGGAAGUGGAAAUGGUGACAGUGAGGUGCAAAGGACUAUGCUUGAGCUUCUCAAUCAACUUGAUGGAUUCGAAGCGUCAAACAAAAUCAAGGUACGUGUCAAGUUGUAAAGGAAAAAAACAAUGAAGGUGAAUAGGAUGAGUCUAUGUUAUUGUAGUCUGAAUUUGCCGGCGUACUCAUUUAUUCUCUUAAAUGACUGUUGCAGGUUUUGAUGGCAACAAAUCGUAUUGAUAUUCUGGAUCAAGCUCUUCUCAGGCCUGGAAGGAUUGAUAGGAAAAUUGAAUUCCCUAAUCCUAAUGAAGAGGUAGUGCUUUUAGAAAAUGAUAUUAGAAGUAACUUUAACUGUGAGGUAGCAACUUUGCUCUGUUGCUUUAGGUGAUAUGAGUACAGAAUUUUGUCAAAGUAGGCUCCGUAUUUAGUAUUUAGACUAUCAUUUGCUGCAUAAAAUACUUUCUUUAUCUCCAUGCUCAUUGAGUAAGGCAGGACGGUUUGGCUAAUGUAUGUUUCUAAAUUGUGUUGCAGUCACGUUUUGAUAUCUUAAAGAUACACUCGAGGAAAAUGAAUUUGAUGCGUGGAAUCGAUCUGAAAAAGAUUGCAGAGAAGAUGAAUGGUGCUUCAGGUGCUGAGCUGAAGGUAAAAUGUUUCUAUUCAUCUGCUUCUCUUUUACUCUCUCUACUGUUUGCCUCUGUCAUAUGUUUUUGGUUAUUACGGUCAGGCUGUGUGCACGGAGGCAGGCAUGUUUGCGCUACGUGAGAGGAGAGUUCACGUGACACAAGAAGACUUUGAGAUGGCGGUGGCGAAGGUAAUGAAGAAAGACACAGAGAAGAACAUGUCUCUGCGUAAGCUCUGGAAGUAGGAAUCUCGUUGUUGUGUAAUUUCAAGUCAAUGGAAAGGCGCAGUUUCAUUUCAGACCUGAGAAAUUAGAGUUUCUUUACUUUACUGUUUGUUGUUUGGUUCUGAAACCUUUUUUUCGGUUGGCUCAUUAAACAUUUAAAAACAAAGUUUUUACUACCUAAACACGAGUUUAUCUAAAUGGUCUUUAAGCAGAGCAUUCAGAUUUUAUAGUUUUUCUUGUCCAAAUCAGUCAUGUUCGAUUAGAGAGAAAAGCCUAUAAUGUUGUAUCUCCUGUCUCCUGAGUCCUGAGUCCUGAUACGAAGAAAGACUUAGCAGUUAGCACAACCCAGACUGUCUAAUGAAUUUGCCAAUUUGGUUUAUUCGGUGUGGUUUAGUUCGGUUACCCAAUAAAGUUUUGGUAUAGGCUCUAAUUGUGGUUUUGGAAUAUAACAAAACCAAACGGCUGAUGAAUAUUCGGUUAAUUUUGGGUCGUUUCGGUUUUCCAAUUGCGGUAUUUUGUGUCGACCCCAAAUUUUUUUUUUCCGUCAAAGAAAUAAAAUUAAAUUGAACUUAAAAAAAAAAGAUGUCUUGUUGGAUAAUCCAAGGUUCUGUUCUAUAUAGUAGGGUUUAUUUGCUAAUGAUCUUGGUCUCUGUGAUCUAUCUUUGAAUCUCAAAAGCAUACUAGAGAGAGAGAUCUGUUUCGAUAAUUUGCUGCAAUCACCUUGUUAAUGGCGGCCGUAGGAGUGGAGGCGAGGCCUCCUGUGACAGCGAUGGAGGAAACCUGCAACGUUAAGGGUGCGGCGGCGAAACAAGGAGAAGGGCUCAAGCAGUAUUAUCUCCAGCAUAUCCAUGAGCUCCAGCGUCUGCUCCGCCAAAAGACGAACAACCUUAAUCGCCUUGAAGCUCAGAGGAAUGAACUCAAUUCUAGAGGUGUCUUUUUCCUUCCUUAACUCUAAUUUCUCUGCAAAAUCGGAUCUUUUGGUCAUCUGCUUGGUUUAGUAAUUUCGGACUCCAUGUUAGGGCUUUUGAUUUCGUUCUCCUUGGAGCUGGGUGCUGUAAAUUUCUAAAUUGUUGUGGUGAUUGCUAGGAUUGAGAGUUUCCGAUCUGGAAGUGGUUGGGUGGCGAUAGGAUCUUUUCCAGUAUUGGAUCUAAACCACGCUUCCAUUAUGUUGAGCCUUGAUUUUUAGCAUCACUUAGUUACCUUAUUCAGAUUUGUCGACUCUGUUUGUGUUGAGUAUGUAUCAGCUUCUUCAAUAGUUGAUACUUUAGCAAAGUAUGUAGCGAAUGUGGUGAGGAUGAGACAGAAUUGAUAGAAUCGUGGUAUACUGCAGAGCUAUGAAUUUCUUGUUUGGAACAUGUUUAGGAAUAUAUUUGAGUGCCAUAUUUUGACUUCUUAUCAACUGCAAAAGAAAAAGUUAAUCAUGUGGAAAAUUCGUGGCUGUUAGUAUUGCUACAUUGGUAGUUCGACUAUGACCUUUUCUUGAAAUCCUAGUUCUUUCUUAACUGUCUUAAUUGAGUAAAUAUACACUAACGGAAGGAGUCAUUUACUCUAAUCCAUGAUUUUACUUUUUAGUAACACAUUUAAUAUAGAACUGCCUUAGUGUCCAUAUUCUUGUCAUCACGAUCAUGAUCACAUUUAUACUUUAACCCCUUCUUAUCAGUCUUUAUAGUAUGUAGUUAAUUCUAAAUUUUAACCCUCGUUGUCAUUCUAAACUGAACAGUACGAAUGCUCAGAGAAGAGUUGCAACUACUUCAAGAACCUGGGUCCUAUGUGGGCGAAGUGGUAAAAGUGAUGGGA
rnacentral:lncRNA from 1 species